rnacentral:rRNA from 14 species
CUACGGGAGGCAGCAGUAGGGAAUUUUCCGCAAUGGGCGAAAGCCUGACGGAGCAAUACCGCGUGAGGGACGACGGCCUGUGGGUUGUAAACCUCUUUUCUCAAGGAAGAAGUUCUGACGGUACUUGAGGAAUAAGCAUCGGCUAACUCUGUGCCAGCAGCCGCGGUAAUACAGAGGAUGCAAGCGUUAUCCGGAAUCACUGGGCAUAAAGCGUCUGUAGGUUGUUUGGUAAGUCUGCUGUUAAAGACUGGGGCUCAACCCCAGAAAAGCAGUGGAAACUGUUAGACUUGAGUGUGGUAGAGGUAGAGGGAAUUCCUAGUGUAGCGGUGAAAUGCGUAGAU